AGGAUAGUAGUUUAAACUAAAAAUAUUAGAUUUCGGGUCUUAAGAUCCUCAGAGGGGGUUAUUCUU
rnacentral:tRNA from 1 species